UGUGUGCAGGUGAUAAUAUUUUUAGGAAGCAGAAUUUGAAUGCAGACCAUCUCAAAUGUUGAAGCCUACAAAUAUAUCAUCCAAGCUUUCAUUUAUGAUUGUUCAUGCUUUAAAAUUGUGAUGUCAGAAUUUAAUAAAGUGUGCAGCAUUAGCUGUAGCAAAUCAUUGCUUAUGAAAUCUACUGUGUUAUCUAACAGCACCAAACUAAUAGAGCUAUCACAUAACUGAGAAACUUGUGUGGCUUAUUACAAAUGGAUGAAACCACAUAUUACCUUAAUGAAGACAGUAAUCUUUAAUAAGGUGUAGAAAAAAAAGAGGUGAGUUGUUUGUUGCUGUGGUAAACAAAGAAGUGUACUGGGUCUUUUGGACUACACAGAGUGAUGCAGUAUUGACUGUGAUGUUGAUCUGAGUUGUCUCAUUCUGUAUUUUUGUGCUUUGUCUUUUGUUACACAGAGUGAAAGAGAUCUUUGGUUUUGCCUUUGCUGACUGCUGAUCUGAUCGUCUCAAGUCUGGUGACCUGCUGCAGAAGCUCUCUCCCUCUAUCAUUAACAAGCCAUUCAGUCUGUCCUAUCACUCUACCCACUCUAUCUAUUUUGACAAGACGUUCUAUCUUGCUUCACUCUAUCCCACAAGCUCUAUCUAAGACCUG